AUGAACGCUGGCGGCGUGCCUAAUACAUGCAAGUCGAGCGAACGGACGAGAAGCUUGCUUCUCUGAUGUUCGCGGCGGACGGGUGAGUAACACGUGGAUAACCUACCUAUAAGACUGGGAUAACUUCGGGAAACCGGAGCUAAUACCGGAUAAUAUUUUGAACCGCAUGGUUCAAAAGUGAAAGACGGUCUUGCUGUCACUUAUAGAUGGAUCCGCGCUGCAUUAGCUAGUUGGUAAGGUAACGGCUUACCAAGGCAACGAUGCAUAGCCGACCUGAGAGGGUGAUCGGCCACACUGGAACUGAGACACGGUCCAGACUCCUACGGGAGGCAGCAGUAGGGAAUCUUCCGCAAUGGGCGAAAGCCUGACGGAGCAACGCCGCGUGAGUGAUGAAGGUCUUCGGAUCGUAAAACUCUGUUAUUAGGGAAGAACAUAUGUGUAAGUAACUGUGCACAUCUUGACGGUACCUAAUCAGAAAGCCACGGCUAACUACGUG
rnacentral:rRNA from 1 species